UACGGGGGGAGCAAGCGUUGUUCGGAUUUACUGGGCGUAAAGGGCGCGUAGGCGGAUAGAUAAGUCGGGCGUGAAAUCCCUAGGCUCAACCUAGGAACUGCACUCGAAACUGUUUGUCUUGAGUACCGGAGAGGAAAGCGGAAUACCUGGUGUAGAGGUGAAAUUCGUAGAUAUCAGGUGGAACACCAGUGGCGAAGGCGGCUUUCUGGACGGUAACUGACGCUGAGGCGCGAAAGCGUGGGGAGCAAACAGG
rnacentral:rRNA from 1 species